rnacentral:lncRNA from 1 species
GUAACUGCCUUGCUUGGAGAGGAAGUCAUGGGUAGUGGGUGGUUUAUUUUCCUUCUUCUCCAAGCUUCUUCCUUCUUCUCCAAGUUUCUUCCUUCUUCUCCAAGUCAUGGUGGAUCAUGCUUAUCAUGUGGUUUUCAUGGUUGUUUUCAUGCUUCUCCUUCAGAUGCUCCCAUUGGGCUUUUUCGUAUUGGGCCUUAACAAAUCACACCCUGGUCCAUGGCCCGGUACACAGCCCCCCAAGCACGAGGCUUCAAGAAGGCGAAGUGCUUUUGAAUGAAGUAACUUGGCGAUUAUUAUGUCUCGGCGUGGUUCUAUGUCGCCUAUUUGUUGCUGACUCAUACUCUUUGUUUGCUUGUCGCCUUGCCCUUCCUUUUGUUGUUUUAUAUUUCUUAGAUAAUUUGUACGCC